rnacentral:rRNA from 1 species
AGAGUUUGAUCAUGGCUCAGAUUGAACGCUGGCGGCAAGCCUCAUACAUGCAAGUCGAACGAGAAAGCAUCUUCGGAUGUGAUUAAAGUGGCGGACGGGUGAGUAAUACAUAGGAAUCUACCCAAUGGCGGGGGACAGCUCGAGGAAACUCGAAUUAAUACCGCAUAAUCUCUACGGAGUAAAGAGGGCUUCGGCUCUCACCAUCGGAUGAGCCUAUGCAAGAUUAGCUUGUUGGUAAGGUAAUGGCUUACCAAGGCAACGAUCUUUAGCUGGUUUGAGAGGAUGACCAGCCACAUCGGGACUGAGACACGGCCCGGACUUCUACGGAAGGCAGCAGUAGGGAAUAUUGGACAAUGAGCGAAAGCUUGAUCCAGCUAUGCCGCGUGUGCGAUGACGGCCCUCGGGUUGUAAAGCACUUUAGGUAACGAGGAAAAGUUAGGUGUUAAUACCACCUAACCAUGACGUUAAUUACAGAAUAAGCACCGGCUAAAUCCGUGCCAGCAGCCGCGGUAAUACGGAUGGUGCAAGCGUUAAUCGGAAUUACUGGGCGUAAAGCGCGCGUAGGUGGCAUACUAAGUUAGAUGUGAAAUCCCGGGGCUUAACCUCGGAACUGCAUCUAAAACUGGUAAGCUAGAGUACUAGAGAGGAAAGUAGAAUUCUUAGUGUAGCGGUGGAAUGCGUAGAUAUUAAGAGGAAUACCAAUGGC